rnacentral:lncRNA from 1 species
AUGGCCCCUGAAGCCCGAGCUGGACAAUCUGGACUGCUGCUCAGCAAGGGUCGAGAGGGACGGUCGGGCUGCCCUCCAGAGGGACACCUGGGAGCCUCUUUGGCUGAAGAGGCCCGGGAGCCCAUCGGGCAGGCAGUCCCCCCGGGGGGUUCAAUGUACCACCUCAGAGACCGUCCCGGGUGGGGUGCCUCCACUCUGAGGCUGGUCAGGUGCUCUGAGGGGGCUGGAGCUCCACGGGACUGGGGUGCCCCCUGGAGCUCAAGGUGGGCUAGCCAGGGGCAGAGGGCACAGUGCAGGCCGCGCAGGGGGAACAGCGGCGGGACCAGGAACAGCGCAGCCGUGGGAAGAGGCCGGGUCACAGGAGGAGACUAUUUGGGGUUACUGGAAUCGGCCUCGUUCAAAGCCUGUGACACAGAGGCACAUAUGCCCCCUGAAGGCCCAUCUAGAGACAAGUGCACUACCUUUCCAGCGAUGGGUGGAGGCCGGAGGGCCGAUGAAUCCUCCCGCAAAAGACCCCGGGGAGCCUUGAAGCCUCGGGAAGCCGGGGACGCAUGGGGUCGACAGGCCGGAUGGAGACCGACGGCGGCCGCAUGCAAGCCGCCAGCUCAGAAAGAGUCUCGGGGUUGGGAUACCUCCGCCCGGAAGGCUCUCCGGUGGUUCCGGUGCGGGCCGAGAUCCACGGGCAGAGAGACACCCGGCUUCCGCCGCACAGGUGAGGGGCGCCUAGCGCGCAUGCGUGAGCCGCGCAGGGGCGGGCAGCCAGGGGCCCAGAAGAGCGCGAGCGGGCAGAGCGGCGGGGGAGGGGGCGGGCCCCCGGGGCUCCAAUCCUCUGCCUCAUUCCCAGCCCUAGGCUACUCACCUGGGCCUACUUCGCCCCCAGAGGUGAAGCUGGAGGAGCGGGGUCUGCCUUGGUCGCAGGGGCCCGGGAGGCUGGCGGGGUGUUUUUCCAGCAACAGACACCUGGGAGCCUCGAUGCCUGGUCAGCCCGGGACCCCGUCGGGCAGGCAGCCGGUUGCAGGGGGACUGCCUGUACCGUUGCAAGCUGCCCCCUGA